AACGAACGCUGGCGGCGCGCUUAACACAUGCAAGUCGAACGAGAAGGCGUAGCAAUACGCUUGUACAGUGGCGAACGGGUGAGUAAUACGUGGGCGACCUACCCUCGAGUGGGGAAUAACCCGCCGAAAGGCGGGCUAAUGCCGCGUACGCUUCCAUCUUUAUGGAGGUGGAAGGAAAGCCGUGCCGUGGGCACGGCGCUCAAGGAUGGGCUCACGUCCUAUCAGCUUGUUGGAGGGUAACGGCCUACCAAGGCUCCGACGGGUAGCUGGUCUGAGAGGACGAUCAGCCACACUGGCACUGCGACACGGGCCAGACUCCUACGGGAGCAGCAGUGAGGAAUAUUGCGCAAUGGGCGAAAGCCUGACGCAGCGACGCCGCGGUGGGGGAGUGGAAGGUCG
rnacentral:rRNA from 1 species